rnacentral:rRNA from 1 species
GACGAACGCUGGCGGCGUGCCUAAUACAUGCAAGUCGAGCGGACGAAUCGAAAGCUUGCUUUUUGUUCGUUAGCGGCGGACGGGUGUGUCACACGUGGGCCACCUGCUCUGUAGUCGGGGAUAACCCCGAGAAAUCGGUGAUAAUACCGGAUAACACCAAAUGUCGCAUGACGUUUCGUUGAAAGACGGCGCAAGCUGACGCUCCAGGAUGGGCCCGCGUCGCAUUUGCUAGUUGGUGUGGUAAAGGCUCACCCAGGCGACUAUACGUAGACGACCUGAGAGGGUGAUCGGCCACACGGGGACUUAGACACGGACCAUACGACUACGGGAGGGAGCAGAAUGGAAUGGGCCGCAAUAGUCGAAAGUCUUACGGAGCAACGCGGCGUGAGAGGAGAAGGCCUUCGGGGCGUAAAGCUCUGUUUUUAGGGAAGAACAAGUAUCGCAGGAACUGGCGUGACCGUGACGGUACCUAACGAGAAAGCCACGGCUAACUACGUG